GUAAAAAGUAGAAUAAUAGAUUUGAAAUAUUUAUUAUAUAGAUUUAAAGAGAUAAUCAUGGAGUAUAAUAAUUAAAUUUAAUAAAUUUAAUAUAACUAUUAAUAGAAUUAGGUUACUAAUAAAUUAAUAACAAUUAAUUUUAAAACCUAAAGGUAAACCUUUAUAUUAAUAAUGUUAUUUUUUAUUAUUUUUAUAAUAAGAAUAAUUAUUAAUAAUAAUAAACUAAGUGAACUGAAACAUCUAAGUAACUUAAGGAUAAGAAAUCAACAGAGAUAUUAUGAGUAUUGGUGAGAGAAAAUAAUAAAGGUCUAAUAAGUAUUAUGUGAAAAAAAUGUAAGAAAAUAGGAUAACAAAUUCUAAGACUAAAUACUAUUAAUAAGUAUAGUAAGUACCGUAAGGGAAAGUAUGAAAAUGAUUAUUUUAUAAGCAAUCAUGAAUAUAUUAUAUUAUAUUAAUGAUGUACCUUUUGUAUAAUGGGUCAGCAAGUAAUUAAUAUUAGUAAAACAAUAAGUUAUAAAUAAAUAGAAUAAUAUAUAUAUAUAAAAAAAUAUAUUAAAAUAUUUAAUUAAUAUUAAUUGACCCGAAAGCAAACGAUCUAACUAUGAUAAGAUGGAUAAACGAUCGAACAGGUUGAUGUUGCAAUAUCAUCUGAUUAAUUGUGGUUAGUAGUGAAAGACAAAUCUGGUUUGCAGAUAGCUGGUUUUCUAUGAAAUAUAUGUAAGUAUAGCCUUUAUAAAUAAUAAUUAUUAUAUAAUAUUAUAUAAAUAUUAUAUAAAGAAUGGUACAGCAAUUAAUAUAUAUUAGGGAACUAUUAAAGUUUUAUUAAUAAUAUUAAAUCUCGAAAUAUUUAAUUAUAUAUAAUAAAGAGUCAGAUUAUGUGCGAUAAGGUAAAUAAUCUAAAGGGAAACAGCCCAGAUUAAGAUAUAAAGUUCCUAAUAAAUAAUAAGUGAAAUAAAUAUUAAAAUAUUAUAAUAUAAUCAGUUAAUGGGUUUGACAAUAACCAUUUUUUAAUGAACAUGUAACAAUGCACUGAUUUAUAAUAAAUAAAAAAAAUAAUAUUUAAAAUCAAAUAUAUAUAUAUUUGUUAAUAGAUAAUAUACGGAUCUUAAUAAUAAGAAUUAUUUAAUUCCUAAUAUGGAAUAUUAUAUUUUUAUAAUAAUAAUAAAAAUAUAAAUACUGAAUAUCUAAAUAUUAUUAUUACUUUUUUUUUUUAAUAAUAAUAAUAUGGUAAUAGAACAUUUAAUGAUAAUAUAUAUUAGUUAUUAAUUAAUAUAUGUAUUAAUUAAAUAGAGAAUGCUGACAUGAGUAACGAAAAAAAGGUAUAAACCUUUUCACCUAAAACAUAAGGUUUAACUAUAAAAGUACGGCCCCUAAUUAAAUUAUAUAAGAAUAUAAAUAUAUUUAAGAUGGGAUAAUCUAUAUUAAUAAAAAUUUAUCUUAAAAUAUAUAUAUUAUUAAUAAUUAUAUUAAUUAAUUAAUAAUAUAUAUAAUUAUAUUAUAUAUUAUAUUUUUAUAUAUAAUAUAUAUAAUAUAAACUAAUAAAGAUCAGGAAAUAAUUAAUGUAUACCGUAAUGUAGACCGACUCAGGUAUGUAAGUAGAGAAUAUGAAGGUGAAUUAGAUAAUUAAAGGGAAGGAACUCGGCAAAGAUAGCUCAUAAGUUAGUCAAUAAAGAGUAAUAAGAACAAAGUUGUACAACUGUUUACUAAAAACACCGCACUUUGCAGAAACGAUAAGUUUAAGUAUAAGGUGUGAACUCUGCUCCAUGCUUAAUAUAUAAAUAAAAUUAUUUAACGAUAAUUUUAUUAAAUUUAGGUAAAUAGCAGCCUUAUUAUGAGGGUUAUAAUGUAGCGAAAUUCCUUGGCCUAUAAUUGAGGUCCCGCAUGAAUGACGUAAUGAUACAACAACUGUCUCCCCUUUAAGCUAAGUGAAAUUGAAAUCGUAGUGAAGAUGCUAUGUACCUUCAGCAAGACGGAAAGACCCUAUGCAGCUUUACUGUAAUUAGAUAGAUCGAAUUAUUGUUUAUUAUAUUCAGCAUAUUAAGUAAUCCUAUUAUUAGGUAAUCGUUUAGAUAUUAAUGAGAUACUUAUUAUAAUAUAAUGAUAAUUCUAAUCUUAUAAAUAAUUAUUAUUAUUAUUAUUAAUAAUAAUAAUAUGCUUUCAAGCAUAGUGAUAAAACAUAUUUAUAUGAUAAUCACUUUACUUAAUAGAUAUAAUUCUUAAGUAAUAUAUAAUAUAUAUUAUAUAUAUAUUAUAUAUAAUAUAAGAGACAAUCUCUAAUUGGUAGUUUUGAUGGGGCGUCAUUAUCAGCAAAAGUAUCUGAAUAAGUCCAUAAAUAAAUAUAUAAAAUUAUUGAAUAAAAAAAUAAUAUAUAUUAUAUAUAUUAAUUAUAAAUUGAAAUAUGUUUAUAUAAAUUUAUAUUUAUUGAAUAUAUUUUAGUAAUAGAUAAAAAUAUGUACAGUAAAAUUGUAAGGAAAACAAUAAUAACUUUCUCCUCUCUCGGUGGGGGUUCACACCUAUUUUUAAUAGGUGUGAACCCCUCUUCGGGGUUCCGGUUCCCUUUCGGGUCCCGGAACUUAAAUAAAAAUGGAAAGAAUUAAAUUAAUAUAAUGGUAUAACUGUGCGAUAAUUGUAACACAAACGAGUGAAACAAGUACGUAAGUAUGGCAUAAUGAACAAAUAACACUGAUUGUAAAGGUUAUUGAUAACGAAUAAAAGUUACGCUAGGGAUAACAGGGUAAUAUAACGAAAGAGUAGAUAUUGUAAGUUAUGUUUGCCACCUCGAUGUCGACUCAACAUUUCCUCUUGGUUGUAAAAGCUAAGAAGGGUUUGACUGUUCGUCAAUUAAAAUGUUACGUGAGUUGGGUUAAAUACGAUGUGAAUCAGUAUGGUUCCUAUCUGCUGAAGGAAAUAUUAUCAAAUUAAAUCUCAUUAUUAGUACGCAAGGACCAUAAUGAAUCAACCCAUGGUGUAUCUAUUGAUAAUAAUAUAAUAUAUUUUAUAAAAAUAAUACUUUAUUAAUAUAUUAUCUAUAUUAGUUUAUAUUUUAAUUAUAUAUUAUCAUAGUAGAUAAGCUAAGUUGAUAAUAAAUAAAUAUUGAAUACAUAUUAAAUAUGAAGUUGUUUUAAUAAGAUAAUUAAUCUGAUAAUUUUAUACUAAAAUUAAUAAUUAUAGGUUUUAUAUAUUAUUUAUAAAUAUAAUAUAAUAAUUAUUAUUAUUAAUAAAAAAAAUAUUAAUUAUAAUAUUAAUAAAAUACUAAUUUAUCAGUUAUCUAUAUAAUAUCUAAUCUAUUAUUCUAUAUACU
rnacentral:rRNA from 1 species